rnacentral:hammerhead_ribozyme from 1 species
AUCCAACUGACGAGUCCCAAAUAGGACGAAACAUGCGUCCUGAAU